rnacentral:rRNA from 1 species
GAUCCUGGCUCAGGACGAACGCUGGCGGCGUGCCUGACACAUGCAAGUCGAACGGAGAAUUUUAUUUCGGUAGAAUUCUUAGUGGCGAACGGGUGAGUAACGCGUAGGCAACCUACCCUUUAGACGGGGACAACAUUCCGAAGGAGUGCUAAUACCGGAUGUGAUCAUCGUGCCGCAUGGCAGGAUGAAGAAAGAAUGGCCUCUACAAGUAAAGCUAUCGCUAAAGGAAUGGGCCCGUGCGGU